rnacentral:rRNA from 1 species
CUUGCUGGGUGGAUUAGUGGCGAACGGGUGAGUAACACGUGAGUAACCUGCCCCUGACUUCGGGAUAAGCCCGGGAAACUGGGUCUAAUACCGGAUAUGACUGUUGACCGCAUGGUUGGUGGUUGAAAGAUUUAUCGGUGGGGGAUGGACUCGCGGCCUAUCAGCUUGUUGGUGAGGUAAUGGCUCACCAAGGCGACGACGGGUAGCCGGCCUGAGAGGGUGACCGGCCACACUGGGACUGAGACACGGCCCAGACUCCUACGGGAGGCAGCAGUGGGGAAUAUUGCACAAUGGGCGGAAGCCUGAUGCAGCGACGCCGCGUGAGGGAUGACGGCCUUCGGGUUGUAAACCUCUUUCAGUAGGGAAGAAGCGAGAGUGACGGUACCUGCAGAAGAAGCGCCGGCUAACUACGUGCCAGCAGCCGCGGUAAUACGUAGGGCGCAAGCGUUAUCCGGAUUUAUUGGGCGUAAAGAGCUCGUAGGCGGUUUGUCGCGUCUGCCGUGAAAGACCAGGGCUCAACCCUGGUUCUGCGGUGGGUACGGGCAGACUAGAGUGAUGUAGGGGAGACUGGAAUUCCUGGUGUAGCGGUGAAAUGCGCAGAUAUCAGGAGGAACACCGAUGGCGAAGGCAGGUCUCUGGGCAUUUACUGACGCUGAGGAGCGAAAGCAUGGGGAGCGAACAGGAUUAGAUACCCUGGUAGUCCAUGCCGUAAACGUUGGGCACUAGGUGUGGGGGACAUUCCACGUUUUCCGCGCCGUAGCUAACGCAUUAAGUG